GGUGAUUCAGUGGUAGAAUGCUCGCCUGCCACGCGGGCGGCCCAGGUUCGAUUCCCGGCAGAUGCA
rnacentral:tRNA from 1 species